UAUAUCUUGGGGCUGUCCUAGUUCCAGUUGAGUUAGCUCCAAUGGUGCUGCGCCCAUGAAGUCAUCUUGAAGGCCCCAAUCAUAGUCAAAGACCUUGAGAAGAAUGAGACUCUUAGUUAAACGACUAAGAAAUUACAAAUCGGUUGAAAUGGAUCCUCAAUGGGCAGCGUAACACUCUCAUCCCAGAUAGGAUUGAGUUCACGAUGUACAGUCCUAGAUUUGUGCAACAAACGACCGGAGCACUUGAUCUUCACGUACGGAUCGCUUGCUCCUUAAAAAUUAUAUACAUAGAGAUGAUAUAUAGGUCAAUUGACGAUUAUAGUCGCUGAUUGUUGUAUAUUUCAUUGGGUGAAAAGGUUACCGCAUCGAUCCAUAGCAACGAGAUUUGCGCCUCUACGAAUGUGCAGACGUAGCUGGAAGAAGGCAUGCUGUCUCAGUGCGAGUUCACGUCGUCGUGAACUCUCAUCCUGCAGGAUUAUCCCGGGUUCGGGGGCAGUGGAGGGACCAGCGUCAUCGUCAACGUCUGCUUCUCUGGAUCGGGGAUGGCUACUUUUCGAUGAGACGUCACUGCAUCUACCAGGACUGUCUUCCACAGAUUUUUCUUUGCUGUUUCGUGCUAAAGGAGAUCCUGAAUGUUUCAAAGGGGAUUUAGUGAACAUUUCACGGGUAUAGAGGGUACACAAGAGAAAAUAUUUUAAAUUUACAUAUUGUUAGAAAAUUACUAGUGAAAUUUCGGGUAAUUUUUCGAUAGUUAGGUAGAGUCAGUAGUCUCCAGUUGAUAGUAUACUUUGUUUUUUAAUCUUAAUGGUACAGUCAUUACAUUAAAUCAAUUGCUAUUUUUGCUAUUUUUACCAUUUUUUUACAAUCUAUAAAUUGCAAAUGAAUAGUAGACGAAUUUAAACAACUAGUUAAACUCGUCUCAUCACUGUCCUACUGAGCUAUAGAAACGUUAGAAGAAACGUUUUUUUUUUCUGAGAAAUGGAACUUUGCUACUACUAAUAAACUCAAGGCUAAGAGAAGUAUGAUAAACAAAUAUUUCAUCUUGAAAAUUAAAUAAAAUAAGUAUGAGUGAAAAUUUGUUUUAGUAUAAAUUUGCUUGGUCAUUUUAUCGGAUCCUGGUGAAAGCUGGAUGCAUACCUGGAUGAUUGAGUGCUCUAGCAGGGCUGUGCGUUGCUGAGGAACUUCUGCUGUGCUCGGAGGAGUAAUCCGCAGCAUAAUCAGAUUCGAUACCCCCGCUGCGAUGAGGCGAAUCCUGGAGAUUUGAGUCUUUAGCUUUCUUCCUCUCUUUACUGCGUCCCCUCACCCAUCGGCUCUUCAGUGUAGCGAAAAAUGUGUGAGUUCUUUGAGCGACCGAGACAACCGGUCGGUGAUGAGGAUGUGGCUGGUGAUGGGAGCGACGGUGUUCUGUGCUGGAUGCUGGACGAUUCGUUGGAUCUUCAUCGUUUGCUCUGAGCUCCGUCGCACUCCUGGACAAUUGUCUCUUGCCGUUGAGAUUCAGAUAUUUUUAGAUCAACGUCAAGGUGAAGACGUUUGAACUGAAUGAAUAGGAUCUUUAUUACGUUAUUGCGCAUAACCGGAGCUAUCGAGACAAUUUUAAUUGAUGCAGUAAGCCGGGAAAUUGAUUGAAUUGGAACUAAAUUGGUGAUGGAGUUGGAAAUAAGAAUAUUCUACAAUUCUCUUAACAAUAUUCUUAGGAAGUUCUAGCCAAUGAAAAUAUUAAUUCUUCUCUGACAUUAAAGAAAUGGUCAAAUUAAUUGCUCCAGCAGUACAUGUACGACGCUCUCCUCGCAGUGACACUUUCAAGUUAUCCAGACAUUUGUAUUAGCCGUCCGGUGCCAGAAAUAUGCGCUAUGAACAGCUCUGUGUCACGCGAUGUGCAGAAAUUGCGAUUAAUUAUUAACCAAAUUAAAUUACAGAUCCGAGCAAUUUGAAUAUUACCAGCGAAUGUAACGAGUACACGGAAAUAAUUUUUUGUAUAUUUUAUUAAGACAUUUCCAAUGAUUAGUCGAAAUAAUGCCUAGAAAAAAUUUAAUUAUUUUAAUGGAAUGGCAUUAUAUUGAGACUAAAUUUUUCUAUGAUGUUGGCGAUAGAUGGAACGAAAUUUCCAUAAUUUUUUUUAACCUAGUGAUAAAAAUACAUAUAAAAAAAAUUUACUAAUUUUAAAAAAAUCAGAAACCAUUUUACUUAGUGUAAUUCUUCAAUUGAAAAAAAAACUCAGUAUUUUUCGAUAUUUUUAAUUUAAAUAUUGGAUAUUAAAAGGACGUAUACUGGAAAAUAUGUCUAUUUGAGAAUAGAUCGACGUAAUGAAAAAAUAAAAAUCCGACAUAAUUAUUCCAUUAAAGGCAUACGUACUUGAGAAUUUGAGUUUUUAUUUGUGAGGUAAUCCAUCUCUCGUCUCUUCAAAAUAACUAAACUCCAAGGUAAGCUAAAGUUGUCUAAAAAAUUAUUAACUUUGUGGUUUUUUUUAUCAACGGAAAAACAUUCACGACCAGGGAAACUUAUUUCGUAGUGAAUUCUUUCCUUAUUCCUAUGACAAAUAGGUGAACUUGUUUAAUAAUGCAACAAGCAUCGCCCACAAUCGCCGAGAAUGGAAACACCCUUUAUUUAGAACUUAUGUAUUCACCCAGUCAUUUCUCAGUGAAUAUACAUACACUUAUUGCGCUUUACUUGAGACAACAUCACCGGCCCCUACAUUAAGAAUAGAUUGGUGACAUUUAUCUUUAUCUUGACACUUUUUUAAUAAAUUAUGAGAAAAGUAAAAAAAAUCGGCUGAUCUCACAAACGGAUUCUCCCCUUAAAAACAGACAUAACAGUGAUUCUCCAGCUGUGGAUGUCUUCGAUUCCCUAGUAAAUAAUAUAUCAGCCUAAAAAAAAAUCAUAAUUACUGGGUCUCAUGAUUGAAUAUUAUUAUUUUUGGUUCAAUUACCCUUUCAUUAAAUUCUCAAAACAAUCAGCAAUUAUCAAUACAAGAAAGCUCAAUAAUAAUGAAUAAGAUAAGUUAUUUAAUUAAUUAGUUUUUUUUUCAUGAAAAAUAAAGAAAAUAAUUUACUAGUCAUUUCACCGUCAAUGAAUAUGCACUUAUUCCACUUGCACUUGCAGUUUGCAUUGAGGUAAUAUUACGUGCCCCGAUACUAAGAAUAUAGUCAUAAUAUAUUUUUUUAUCUCGCCAGUUUUUCGCAAUACUUAUGAGAGAAUUGAGGAAAAUUGUCUGAUCUCAUGAAGGACUUCUCCCCUUAAAACACGUUAUCCACCCUAAAACGCACGUCUGCAUAACAUAGAUUGGAAUAGGGGGAUCAGGUUUACUCUGUGACGCCCCUAACGAAUAACAUACCAACCCUAAAAAUAAUAACAUGAUAAUUAAUAAAAACUCACAUUCUU